rnacentral:rRNA from 1 species
UACGUAAGUCGCAAGCGUUAUCCGGAUUUACUGGGCGUAAAGGGCGUCUAGGCGGUUUUUUAAGUCAGAGGUGAAAAGUCAGGGCUCAACCUUGGCCUGGCCUUUGAAACUGGGAAACUAGAGUACGGAAGAGGAGGGUGGAACUACAAGUGUAGCGGUGGAAUGCGUAGAUAUUUGUAGGAAUGCCGAUGAUGAAGAUAGCCCUCUGGGACGAUACUGACGCUAAAGCGCGAAAGCUAGGGUAGCAAACAGGAUUAGAUACCCUGGUAGUCCUAGCUGUAAACGAUGAAUACUGGGUGUUUGCGGUAAUACCGUAAGCGCCGAAGCUAACGCAUUAAGUAUUCCGCCUGGGGAGUACGGUCGCAAGACUA